rnacentral:sRNA from 1 species
CCGUACAGGAUGUACGGUGGUUUUGUCAUGCGACGUUUUAGGCGGUAAGCCUAAAACUCGUGUUGAAAACUGCACUCAGGAUGUGCAGUUUUCAAACAUUU